CCAGUGUUUUAGUUUCCCUAGGCUGUGACCUUCACAAGAGUUUCUUACUUUUCUUUCUCUCUCCCUUUCUUUAGAUGAGAUAGGGAGUCUAGAGGGGGCUGCUGUUGGGCCCAGUGGAUUCUCAAGAUGAAAUUCCUGCCAUAAUUGCUGACUUCAGCUCCUCAGAGCUAUAGACUGGCUUGACCCGGAAACUCUACUGUGGGUCACAUCUUCUCCACUGGUCUGGCUCCUGUACAGUGUGGCUUGGUCUGGUUUGAGUGCAGAGGUACAUUUGAAUGGAAGCCUCCCAUAAAUGAUUUUUAUGAUGGCAGCCAACUUGAGGAAUUCUUGAGAGCUGAGAAUGUUCUUUGAGUCAUUCUGGGGAAUUGUGAUGGGACGCAUUCUAUUUUGUACCUCCAGAAAUUUUUAUUGAGCUUCUUACUCCGUGCCAGGAACUGUUAUAGCCCUAGGAAUGCAACAAGAAACAAGGCAGAUAAAAGAAAGACAACCCUACAUGGAGAGGAAAUUAGCUACAGAUAUUAAAAGGCCGAGUACAGCUUCUUUGAGCCAUGAGCUUUCUAGCAGAUAUUUAUGAUUUGAUCCUAUGCAAAUGUGAAACGUCUGUGGACAGGCUGCUUUAAAGAUCACUACUAGCCCAGCAACUGCAAAAAUGUUGAAAACAGCACUUUAAGUACUUUGUGUUUGAUGUUAAGUUAUUGCUAAUUUUUUGGAUCUGGGGAAGUUCCAUUUCCAGAAAUCAGAUACAGUAUUAUAAAAACACAAGGGAAUCAUUUCCAGCACUAUUUAUAUAAAUGUAAGGAUUCAACACAAAUGCAAAUUAAAA